UGGUUUCUCACUCAAAGGGCUUUAGAAACAUGCUUUUAAAGUCGCCUGGGGAUGGGGCCGCGACCGAUCAGGUUGUUGGUGAGGUAAUGGCUCACCAAGCCUUUAACCGGUACGGGCCGUGAGAGCGGUAGCCCGGAGAUGGGUACUGAGACAAGGACCCAGGCCCUACGGGGCGCAGCAGUCGCGAAAACUCCGCAAUGCACGAAAGUGUGACGGGGCUACCCCGAGUGCCAUCCGCUGAGGAUGGCUUUUCCUUGGUGUAACUAGCCGGGGGAAUAAGGAGAGGGCAAGACUGGUGUCAGCCGCCGCGGUAAUACCAGCUCUCCGAGUGGUAGGGAUGAUUAUUGGGCUUAAAGCGUCCGUAGCCGGCUUAGCAAGUCUCCUGUUAAAUUCAGCGACCUAAUCGUUGAGCCGCGGGAGAUACUACUAGGCUAGGAGGCGGGAGAGGUCGACGGUACUUCUGGGGUAGGGGUGAAAUCCUAUAAUCCCAGGAGGACCACCAGUGGCGAAGGCUGUUGACUAGAACGCGCUCGACGGUGAGGGACGAAAGCUGGGGGAGCAAACCGGAUAGAUACCCGGGUAGUCCCAGCUGUAAACGAUGCGGGCUAGGUGUUG
rnacentral:rRNA from 1 species